GGGGGGGGGGGGGGGGGGGGUGGGGGCGGGCGGGGGGGGGGGGGGGGCGGGGCGGGGGGGGGGUGCGCGAGGGGCGGGCGGGUGGGGAACACGUGGGUGGCCUGCCCGUGACGGUGGUGUGACGUCAGGAAACGGGGGCGAAUACCUGAUCUGGGCUCCUUCUGCAUGGUGGGGGAUGGAAAGUUUCGGCGGUGGGGGAUGGACUCGCGGCUUAUCAGCUUGUUGGUGGGGUAGUGGCUUACCAAGGCUUUGACGGGUAGCCGGCCUGAGAGGGUGACCGGCCACAUUGGGACUGAGAUACGGCACAGACUCCUACGGGAGGCAGCAGUGGGGAAUAUUGCACAAUGGGCGGAAGCCUGAUGCAGCAACGCCGCGUGCGGGAUGACGGCCUUCGGGUUGUAAACCGCUUUCGCCUGUGACGAAGCGUGAGUGACGGUAAUGGGUAAAGAAGCACCGGCUAACUACGUG
rnacentral:rRNA from 1 species